rnacentral:rRNA from 1 species
UGGGGAAUCUUGGACAAUGGGCGCAAGCCUGAUCCAGCCAUGCCGCGUGGAUGAUGAAGGCCUUAGGGUUGUAAAAUCCUUUCGUUGGGGACGAUAAUGACGGUACCCAAAGAAGAAGCUCCGGCUAACUUCGUGCCAGCAGCCGCGGUAAUACGAAGGGGGCUAGCGUUGUUCGGAUUUACUGGGCGUAAAGGGCGCGUAGGCGGCAAUUCAAGUCAUCUGUGAAAUCUCCGGGCUUAACUCGGAACGGUCAGAUGAUACUGCUUUGCUAGAGUGCAGAAGGGGCAAUCGGAAUUCUUGGUGUAGCGGUGAAAUGCGUAGAUAUCAAGAGGAACACCUGAGGUGAAGACGGGUUGCUGGGCUGACACUGACGCUGAGGCGCGAAAGCCAGGGGAGCAAACGGGAUUAGAUACCCAUGUAGUCCCUGAGCGGGCUGGCAAGGCGCAU